UACGGGGGGGGCAAGCGUUGUUCGGAAUUAUUGGGCGUAAAGCGCACGUAGGCGGCUUAGCAAGUCGGAAGUGAAAUCCCUCGGCUCAACCAAGGAAGUGCUUUCGAAACUGCUGAGCUUGAGUACGAAAGAGGAUCGCGGAAUUCCCGGUGUAGAGGUGAAAUUCGUAGAUAUCGGGAGGAACACCAGUGGCGAAGGCGGCGAUCUGGGUCGAUACUGACGCUGAGGUGCGAAAGCGUGGGGAGCAAACAGG
rnacentral:rRNA from 1 species